GUGAAUGAGGUGGAUGAUGGUCUGCAGAGAGAGAGAGAGAUAAGAGUCUAACUCUGAAGGAGGUUUCAGUUUCCUGAUUCUAAGGCCCCUGUGAGAUGGAAUUUGGCGGCGGGAAAGUGUGGAACAUAGUAUUGAUGAGCACAGAUCUACACAGUUGGGGAAACCCAAGCCGUCUGACCGCUGAAGCAGAGCCUCUGUCCCUACACUGCCUCUCCUCCGCCUGAUGAAGGUUUGGGCUGAAAGAUGACUGAAAUGGAGGAAUGGAUUUUAAAAAUGAAUGAAUGGGGACUUCCCUGGUGGUCCAAUGGUUAAGAAUCCGUCUUCCAGUGCAGGGGAGGUGGGUUUGAUCCCUGGUCUGGGAACUAAGAUCCCACGGGCCACGGGGCAACUAAGCCCGCACUCCACAACUAGAGAGCCCGUGUGCUGCAACUAAUGAGCCCGUGCGCUCUGGAGCCCACGCGCCACAACUAGAGAGAAGCCCACACGCUGCAACAAAGAGCCUGCCUGCCGCAAAU